rnacentral:rRNA from 1 species
UACGAAGGGGCUAGCGUUGCUCGGAAUCACUGGGCGUAAAGGGCGCGUAGGCGGCCUGAUAAGUCGGGGGUGAAAGCCUGUGGCUCAACCACAGAAUUGCCUUCGAUACUGUUAGGCUUGAGACCGGAAGAGGUAAGUGGAACUGCGAGUGUAGAGGUGAAAUUCGUAGAUAUCGCAAGAACACCAGUGGCGAAGGCGGCUUACUGGUCCGGAUCUGACGCUGAGGCGCGAAAGCGUGGGGAGCAAACA